AAUUGAAAGCAGGGGAGCUGUUGUGAACAGCUGAGAGGAAAAUAAAUUUUCGACCCUUUAAACCUGAUUGGUUAAGACCAGCGUAGGGAGCUAUUUAGACGGUAGA
rfam:Lactobacillus coryniformis subsp. coryniformis CECT 5711 COR000033, whole genome shotgun sequence.